UUCAUAAAAAUAGAGAGAGAAUGGGUUCCAGCUAUCGUUCAUCGUUUCGUUGUCUCCUCCGUCCAACUUCUCUGCAACAAAAUCCCUAGUUUCCAAUGGCACCAUGUCAUCAUCAGUUUUGGCAUUACCAAUUAGAAACCAGUGAAGUCGCAUCAUAUUUUGUUACUAUCAAUUUGGUUAGAUCGCCGUGCGGAUCUUCACAGGGGAAAGCAAAAAAAAAAAGCCCUAAUUUCUUAAAUUUUCUCCAUCAAAAUCUCAAUAAUUCAGUGAUACAAACCUAUAUUGUUUCUGCUGCUACAUCCGUAUUCAGUAUUUAUUAUCAUCAUCGUCGUAUUCACACUUGGAAUUGGGUUGGGAAAAUGUUCUCUCUUAAUCAAUGUAGGUUUGAAAUUUCUUCGAUAACCCCUAUGUAAACAAGAGGUACCAGUGAAGAGGUAAUGAAGGAUUUGGGAAGAAACCCAUUUCACCCAACAGUAGAGAGCCAUAUGCUUGUGGGAAGUUUUAAUGGCGGAUACAUUUCUCGAUGGGGAAGAACAGAGUUCUGGGAGAGGAAAUGUGAAUCGUUUCUGAUUCAAAGAUCAAACCGUAAUACUAUUAUGACAUGUGUCUCGUUUUUAAUUUGUUUAAAGGGUAAUUUUGGGUUUUCAACAUUAAAUAUUUAUUAUUUCAUGCACCUGCAUUGCACGUGCAAAUUUAACAGCA